rnacentral:rRNA from 1 species
GGCGAACGGGUGAGUAAAGCAUCGGAACGUACCGUGUAAUGGGGGAUAACGUAGCGAAAGUUACGCUAAUACCGCAUACGACCUGAGGGUGAAAGCAGGGGAUCGCAAGACCUUGCGUUAUACGAGCGGCCGAUGUCAGAUUAGCUAGUUGGUAGGGUAAAGGCCUACCAAGGCGACGAUCUGUAGCGGGUCUGAGAGGAUGAUCCGCCACACUGGGACUGAGACACGGCCCAGACUCCUACGGGAGGCAGCAGUGGGGAAUUUUGGACAAUGGGGGCAACCCUGAUCCAGCCAUGCCGCGUGAGUGAAGAAGGCCUUCGGGUUGUAAAGCUCUUUCGGCCGGGAAGAAAUCGCACAGGCUAAUACUCUGUGUGGAUGACGGUACCGGCAUAAGAAGCACCGGCUAACUACGUGCCAGCAGCCGCGGUAAUACGUAGGGUGCGAGCGUUAAUCGGAAUUACUGGGCGUAAAGCGUGCGCAGGCGGUUAGAUAAGUUUGAUGUGAAAUCCCCGGGCUCAACCUGGGAACUGCAUUGAAGACUGUCUAACUAGAGUACGGCAGAGGGGGGUGGAAUUCCACGUGUAGCAGUGAAAUGCGUAGAGAUGUGGAGGAACACCGAUGGCGAAGGCAGCCCCCUGGGCCGAUACUGACGCUCAUGCACGAAAGCGUGGGGAGCAAACAGGAUU